rnacentral:sRNA from 2 species
AUAUAAAGAAGGCCGAAUUAAAAUUAGCGGGGAAACCGUUUUUUUGGGGUGAAUUCCAAAUAUACUGGAAAGGGUAUCCCUUAAUCCUAACCCGUCAGCUAACCUCGCAGGCGACUAAGGGAAGAGAU